CUCUUAAUUGGAGGCUUGAAUGAAUGGUCGGACAUAAGGGAAUCUGUCUAUCGAUUAGUGAAGACGAAUUUAACUUUUGUGUGAAAAGGCAUAAAUACAUUAGGGGGACGAUAAGACCCUAUAAAACUUAAUGACUAUAUCAGGUUUCAUGAGUUAUGGUAUAAGGGGGGAUUUGUGAGUUGUCGUUUUGCUGGGGCGGCAAGAAUAAAAUUCGCAACUGUUCUUAAAAAUUGAAUAAUUAUAAUUAGGUAUUGACCCUGAAUUGUUCGGGUUAUAAGAUAAAGUUACUUUAGGGAUAACAGCGUA
rnacentral:rRNA from 1 species